UUCCCCAAAAAAGAAAAAAACACGGAGAACAGCCCUAAUAAAACCCAAGGGCAAAAACAUCAAAGACCCAGAAUUACAAAAGCUAAAAAUCUAAGAUCUUUGGAGCAACAAAACAAGAAAAAGUGAGAGGAGAAUAAUUACAAGACCGUGCCGUUCACCGGCUUGGAAAGAAAGCUUCUGUUGGUUCAUGGCGUGAGUAUAGAGCUGCGAUAAUGAAUUAGCGGCACUGCAAAAUGAUGUAUACAUGGUUCGAUCCACCUCGUCGAGGCUGGUCGCUAUCGACUUUCUCUUCUUCGCCAUCUGAGGUUAAAAACCCUUCCUUUUUGUGAUUUGGACGGUGACCUAGCCGAGAUUUUUCGGCUAUUUGGAGAUUCUGGUUUUCUGUGUUUCUGAAACACAAGUGGGGGAGAAAGAAGGGAGAAGGAAGAGAGAAAGA
rnacentral:lncRNA from 1 species